rnacentral:tRNA from 1 species
GGUUGUGGCUCAGCUGUAGAGCACUCGCCUAGCAUGUGCAAGGCUCUGGGUUCAAUCCUCAGCCCCA